rnacentral:rRNA from 1 species
AAUGAACGCUGGCGGCGCGCCUAAUACAUGCAAGUCGAGCGAGAAGACGUAGCAAUACGUUUGUAAAGCGGCGAACGGGUGAGGAAUACAUGGGUAACCCUACCCUCGAGUGGGGAAUAACUAGACCGAAAGGUUAGCUAAUACCGCGUACGCUCCUUGGACUUCGGUUCAGGGAGGAAAGCGAUACCGUGGGUAUCGCGCUCUUGGUUGGGCUCAUGUCCUAUCAGCUUGUUGGUGAGGUAACGGCUCACCAAGGCUUCGACGGGUAGCUGGUCUGAGAGGACGAUCAGCCACACUGGCACUGCGACACGGGCCAGA